UACGGAGGGAGCGAGCGUUGUUCGGAUUUACUGGGCGUAAAGCGCGCGUAGGCGGCUAUGCAAGUCGGGAGUGAAAUUCCACGGCUCAACCGUGGAACUGCUUUCGAAACUGCAUGGCUAGAGGGUGAGAGGGGAAGGUGGAAUUCCAGGUGUAGCGGUGAAAUGCACAGAUAUCUGGAGGAACACCAGUGGCGAAGGCGGCCUUCUGGAUCACACCUGACGCUGAGGCGCGAAAGCGUGGGGAGCAAACAGG
rnacentral:rRNA from 1 species